UCCAGACUCCUACGGGAGGCAGCAGUGAGGAAUAUUGGUCAAUGGGCGCGAGCCUGAACCAGCCAAGUCGCGUGAGGGAAGACGGUCCUAUGGAUUGUAAACCUCUUUUGUCAGGGAGCAAAGGGCGCCACGUGUGGCGUUUUGCGAGUACCUGAAGAAAAAGCAUCGGCUAACUCCGUGCCAGCAGCCGCGGUAAUACGGAGGAUGCGAGCGUUAUCCGGAUUUAUUGGGUUUAAAGGGUGCGUAGGCGGAUUUUUAAGUCAGCGGUAAAAUGUCCGGGCUCAACCCGGGCCGGCCGUUGAAACUGGGGAUCUUGAGUGGGCGAGAAGUAUGCGGAAUGCGUGGUGUAGCGGUGAAAUGCAUAGAUAUCACGCAGAACUCCGAUUGCGAAGGCAGCAUACCGGCGCUCAACUGACGCUCAUGCACGAAAGCGUGGGUAUCGAACAGGAUUAGAUACCCUCGUAA
rnacentral:rRNA from 1 species